rnacentral:rRNA from 1 species
UACGAAGGGGGCUAGCGUUGCUCGGAAUCACUGGGCGUAAAGCGCACGUAGGCGGAUUGCUAAGUCAGGGGUGAAAUCCUGGAGCUCAACUCCAGAACUGCCUUUGAUACUGGCGAUCUCGAGUUCGGGAGAGGUGAGUGGAACUGCGAGUGUAGAGGUGAAAGUUCGUAGAUAUUCGCAAGAACACCAGUGGCGAAGGCGGCUCACUGGCCCGAUACUGACGCUGAGGUGCGAAAGCGUAGGGAGCAAACAGG